UACGUAGGGUGCGAGCGUUGUCCGGAAUUAUUGGGCGUAAAGAGCUCGUAGGCGGUGUGUCGCGUCGGCCGUGAAAACCUGGGGCUCAACUCUGGGCGUGCGGUCGAUACGGGCAUCACUGGAGUUCGGCAGGGGAGACUGGAAUUCCUGGUGUAGCGGUGAAAUGCGCAGAUAUCAGGAGGAACACCGGUGGCGAAGGGCGGGGUCUC
rnacentral:rRNA from 1 species